rnacentral:rRNA from 1 species
UACGUAGGGUGCGAGCGUUGUCCGGAAUUAUUGGGCGUAAAGAGCUCGUAGGCGGUGUGCCGCGUCGGCCGUGAAAACCUGGGGCUUAACUCUGGGCGUGCGGUCGAUACGGGCAUCACUAGAGUUCGGCAGGGGAGACUGGAAUUCCUGGUGUAGCGGUGAAAUGCGCAGAUAUCAGGAGGAACACCGGUGGGCGAAGGCGGGGUCUCUGGGCCGAUAACUG